AGUGAACGCUGGCGGUAGGCCUAACACAUGCAAGUCGAACGGCAGCACAGUAAGAGCUUGCUCUUACGGGUGGCGAGUGGCGGACGGGUGAGGGAUGCAUCGGAAUCUACUUUUUCGUGGGGGAUAACGUAGGGAAACUUACGCUAAUACCGCAUACGACCUACGGGUGAAAGCAGGGGAUCUUCGGACCUUGCGCGAUUGAAUGAGCCGAUGUCGGAUUAGCUAGUUGGCGGGGUAAAGGCCCACCAAGGCGACGAUCCGUAGCUGGUCUGAGAGGAUGAUCAGCCACACUGGAACUGAGACACGGUCCAGACUCCUACGGGAGGCAGCAGUGGGGAAUAUUGGACAAUGGGCGCAAGCCUGAUCCAGCCAUACCGCGUGGGUGAAGAAGGCCUUCGGGUUGUAAAGCCCUUUUGUUGGGAAAGAAAAGCAGCAGGUUAAUACCCCGCUGUUCUGACGGUACCCAAAGAAUAAGCACCGGCUAACUUCGUG
rnacentral:rRNA from 1 species